rnacentral:rRNA from 1 species
UUACGACUACAUAUCAGGCAUAUCAAUAAGCGGAGGAAAAGAAACUAACAAGGAUUCCCUAGUAACGGCGAGUGAAGCGGGAAGAGCUCAAAUUUGAAAUCUUCAAGGUUCUACCUUGACGAAUUGUAGUUUAAAGAAGUGUUUUCUGUUAGAUGAGUAGCAAAAGUUCCUUGGAAUGGGACAUCAUAGAGGGUGAGAAUCCCGUAUUUGGUUAUUCAUUCUAGCUUUGUGAUACACUUUCAAAGAGUCGGAUUGUUUGGGAAUGCAGUCCAAAAUGGGUGGUAAAUUUCAUCUAAAGCUAAAUAUUGGCGAGAGACCGAUAGCGAACAAGUACCGUGAGGGAAAGAUGAAAAGAACUUUGAAAAGAGAGUUAAACAGUACGUGAAAUUGUCAAAAGAGAAGCGUUUGACACCAGUGUUGUUUUUCCGAAAAUCAAUUACGAAUGGCUUGAUUUUGUGUUGUAUUGACCUUAUCAGCUUUCUUCACUUUUUUCGAGUCUUUCUUAAUGCACUUUUCGGUUAACAAGUCAACAUCAAUUUCUUUUGUUGUAAAAGAGUAUUCGGAAGGUGGCUUUCUUUUCGGAGAAAGUGUUUAUAGCCCUAUACUUCUACAAUCGGAGAGAUUGAGGUCUGCAGCGUAGAUCCUUCGGGGUUAGAUACACUUGUGCUAAGUUGUAGCUUUUCAUAGACAACUUGUUGACUAUGUUUAGUCAUGCGGCUUACUCGCUUGUGCUAUUUUACCUACGCUUAGGAUGUUGAGUAGCGACAUACGCAC